rnacentral:rRNA from 1 species
GAUGAACGCUGACAGAAUGCUUAACACAUGCAAGUCGAUUCGAUUUACCUUCGGGUAUUGAGGAUGGCGGACGGGUGAGUAACGCGUAAGGAACUUGCCUCUUGGUCUGGGACAACUGUUGGAAACGACAGCUAAUACCGGAUAUUAUGAGAUUCUCGCAUGGGAAACUUAUGAAAGCUAUAUGCGCCAAGAGAGAGCCUUGCGUUCCAUUAGCUAGUUGGUGGGGUAACGGCCCACCAAGGCGACGAUGGAUAGCCGGCCUGAGAGGGUGAACGGCCACAAGGGGACUGAGACACGGCCCUUACUCCUACGGGAGGCAGCAGUGGGGAAUAUUGGACAAUGNNNNNNNNGCCUGAUCCAGCAAUUCUGUGUGCACGAUGAAGGUCUUCGGAUUGUAAAGUGCUUUCAGUUGGGAAGAAGAAAGUGACGGUACCAACAGAAGAAGCGACGGCUAAAUACGUGCCAGCAGCCGCGGUAAUACGUAUGUCGCAAGCGUUAUCCGGAUUUAUUGGGCGUNAAGCGCGUCUAGGCGGAAAAAUAAGUCUGAUGUUAAAAUGCGGGGCUCAACUCCGUAUUGCGUUGGAAACUGUUUUUCUAGAGUACUGGAGANGUGGGCGGAACUACAAGUGUAGAGGUGAAAUUCGUANAUNUUUGUAGGAAUGCCGAUGGAGAANUCAGCUCACUGGACAGAUACUGACGCUGAA